rnacentral:rRNA from 1 species
GAUGAACGCUGGCGGUAUGCUUAACACAUGCGAGUCGAACGGACUCUUCGGAGUUAGUGGCGGACGGGUGAGUAACGCGUGAGAAUCUGGCUUUGGGUUCGGGACAACCACUGGAAACGGUGGCUAAUACCGGAUGUGCCGAGAGGUAAAAGAGAAAUUGCCUGAAGAUGAGCUCGCGUCUGAUUAGCUAGUUGGUGAGGUAAAGGCUCACCAAGGCAGCGAUCGGUAGCUGGUCUGAGAGGAUGACCAGCCACACUGGGACUGAGACACGGCCCAGACUCCUACGGGAGGCAGCAGUGGGGAAUUUUCCGCAAUGGGCGAAAGCCUGACGGAGCAAUACCGCGUGAGGGAAGAAGGCUCUUGGGUUGUAAACCUCUUUUCUUAGGGAAGAACAAAAUGACGGUACCUAAGGAAUCAGCAUCGGCUAACUCCGUG